AAGGAAAAAAAAUUCCAUCUUCUCUUUCAAGAAAAAAAAGAUGUCAUCAUCCAAUUUAAAUCAUCAAGCAAACAAUGGACUCCCAAUUUGUCUUGCAGGGAUCACACGUCCUCUUCCUCUCUCCAAAGAGAUGACGGAUCACACUGGAAGAAGGGAGUCUAUGAAAAAGCUAAGAGUUCAAAUGGGAGGAAAAUGGAAAACAGAUCAAGUGAGAAGCCAUGAAAGAGACUUCAGAGAGAAAAUAAAUGAAAGUGAUUCAGAUCUUAUUGUUGCUCUUCUUUGUGAUCUUUGUUUGUCUUGUACAGCAAAGGCUGCUUGAUUCUAACUUAGAUAAAAAAGUAUUUAAUUUGGUUUUCUUUUAGUUUUUGUUUAUGUACUUUUGGGAAUUUUGUGAUAUAUUUGGCUUAGAUUUGUGUAAGAACCUCCUAAU